rnacentral:rRNA from 1 species
UGGGGAGUACGGUCGCAAGAUUAAAACUCAAAGGAAUUGACGGGGACCCGCACAAGCGGUGGAUGAUGUGGAUUAAUUCGAUGCAACGCGAAAAACCUUACCUACCCUUGACAUGGCAGAAAUCCUNGAGAGAUUGAGGAGUGCUCGAAAGAGAAUCUGCACACAGGUGCUGCAUGGCUGUCGUCAGCUCGUGUCGUGAGAUGUUGGGUUAAGUCCCGCAACGAGCGCAACCCUUGUCAUUAGUUGCUACGAAAGGGCACUCUAAUGAGACUGCCGGUGACAAACCGGAGGAAGGUGGGGAUGACGUCAAGUCCUCAUGGCCCUUAUGGGUAGGGCUUCACACGUCAUACAAUGGUACAUACAGAGCGCCGCCAACCCGCGAGGGGGAGCUAAUCGCAGAAAGUGUAUCGUAGUCCGGAUUGUAGUCUGCAACUCGACUGCAUGAAGUUGGAAUCGCUAGUAAUCGCGGAUCAGCAUGUCGCGGUGAAUACGUUCCCGGGUCUUGUACACACCGCCCGUCACACCAUGGGAGCGGGUUUUACCAGAAGUAGGUAGCUUAACCGCAAGGAGGGCGCUUACCACGGUAGGAUUCGUGACUG